rnacentral:rRNA from 1 species
UGUACCUUGUUGCUUCGGCGGGCCCGCCUCACGGCCGCCGGGGGGCUCUCCUGCCCCCGGGCCCGCGCCCGCCGAAAACACCUGUGAACGCUGUCUGAAGUAUGCAAUCUGAGAAAACUAACUAAAUUAGUUAAAACUUUCAACAACGGAUCUCUUGGUUCCGGCAUCGAUGAAGAACGCAGCGAAAUGCAAUAAUUAAUGUGAAUUGCACAAUUCAGUGAAUCAUCGAGUCUUUGAACGCACAUUGCGCCCUCUGGUAUUCCGGAGGGCAUGCCUGUCCGAGCGUCAUUGCUGCCCUCAAGCACGGCUUGUGUGUUGGGCCCUCGUCCCCCCGGGGACGGGCCCGAAAGGCAGCGGCGGCACCGCGUCCGGUCCUCGAGCGUAUGGGGCUUCGUCACCCGCUCGUUAGGCCCGGCCGGCGCCAGCCGACCCCCCCUCAAUCUUUAACCAGGUUGACCUCGGAUCAGGUA